rnacentral:tRNA from 1 species
AACAAUCUAGGUUAAUUUAUAGACUGCCUGUCUUCAAAACAGGAGGUGAUUUUGUCGUUUGUUG